CAGUAGCCGCGGGAAUACGAAGGGGGCUAGCGUUGUUCGGAAUUACUGGGCGUAAAGCGCACGUAGGCGGACAUUUAAGUCAGGGGUGAAAUCCCGGGGCUCAACCCCGGAACUGCCUUUGAUACUGGGUGUCUAGAGUAUGGAAGAGGUGAGUGGAAUUCCGAGUGUAGAGGUGAAAUUCGUAGAUAUUCGGAGGAACACCAGUGGCGAAGGCGGCUCACUGGUCCAUUACUGACGCUGAGGUGCGAAAGCGUGGGGAGCAAACAGGAUUAGAUACCCCCGUAGUCCCUGUCUCUUAUCC
rnacentral:rRNA from 1 species